rnacentral:lncRNA from 1 species
GAUGUUCUUGAAAUUUUUUAAGAAGUAAGAAAUUUGAGAAAUAAGUAUAUAGAGUUGUGCAGGAAAUAUAUGAGAUUGUUGUGUUAUUUAUAGCAAAAAAUCCGGCUGUUAAAAAUUUGGUCGUUAUGCUUUUGAACGUUAUAAUCAAAUAAAUAGAAAAAUUAAAAAAAAAAGUAAAAAGGAAAGACAACGGCUAGAACAAAAUAGAGGAAAGUAUUAAAUUUAAAAGAAUGAAUAAAAAAAUGAAACAAAAAAAGAAAAAGGAAUGAAAGAAUAAAAGUAAAGAAAUAAAAAAAAAAGAUAGAAAUAAACGACACGAACAAAAUUUUAAAAAAAGGUAGGGAUAGGAAGAUUUGGAAGUGCUUGCACGCCGCCCAAUAAAAAAGGGUCCACCUUGUCAGCUAAGCACCAGCCUCCUCUGCAGGUACCCAUUCCCUUCUUGGUACCCUAAAUUUUGGCUCCCACUAUGGUAGUACCGGGUCCCAUCAAUGCCACAUGGAUAAG